CGGAGCUGGGGGGCUGUGUCCAGAGCCGGGCAUCCGGAUUAGUUAGAGAGUGUACUUUGGAGAAGUUUGGAUUUUCGAUGAACAAGAAGACACUGAUCUCAAUCUACCCAGCAGCUAGGAGGAAGGCUGGCCCCCAGAAAACUGCUGCUGCCACUCAACACCACCUCACACUUUGGGACCAAUGUGAGGGGGGCAUGGGGCUCAAAGCCAUGUCCUCAAUCAGUCCUCAGACUAGCAGGCUACGUGGGCUGGUGGAUCCUAGCUCACCAGAGGUACCAUCCUCAAAGCCCCUGAUUGGAGGAGACAUCCGGCCUCUCCCGUUGGAUAAGACAUGUGAUUUAUGCCAGAAGGAGGCACAGGGAGUUGUCUGAGCAGCUGGCUGGCUGGCUGUACUGGACCUGACUCCUGAGUACUGCCUUGUUCCGAUCUCUGCUUCACCCCAGCUACUGACUCCAUCUCUGAGCCAUGGCUUGACUCCUGACUCUGACACCUGGCUUUCAACGCCUGCUCUGACCACAGGGCCUGACUGCCUAUGUCGCCAUCCAUGACAAGUGGUUCACAUUGUUUCUGAUCAGACUCUCUACAUAUGGA